UCUUUCAGAAUGCAUUUGAACUCGCAUUUUUUGCUUGGAGUACCUAUGAAUUCUCAAUAGACUCUUGCUUCCACCGAGGCACUGCGGCUAUUGUCAUUAGACUUACAGUGGGGGUUGUCAUUCAAGUUCUGUGCAGCUAUGUGACCCUGCCUCUUUACGCUCUAG